rnacentral:misc_RNA from 1 species
UUAAAUAAAAAUCGGUGUUGUUGCUGCCUUUCGUGGUGGCAUGUCGGAAUUGAGUCGUCUUAUCUUCGGUUAAGUGACUUAAAAUUUUAUAUGAUUUUCGAACGUAUUUUAAUUUGCUUACGUACGUUUGAGAUAUCGAAUAUUUUAUUAGGUUCGGUCAUCCUUAUGACUCGCGCCUAUAAUUUUUUCAUU